GGUGAGGUGUCCGAGCGGUCGAAGGAGCACGCCUGGAAAGCGUGUAUGUCGAAAGGCAUCGAGGGUUCGAAUCCCUCUCUCACCGCCA
rnacentral:tRNA from 1 species